CCUACGGGAGGCAGCAGUGAGGAAUAUUGGUCAAUGGCCGGGAGGCUGAACCAGCCAAGUCGCGUGAGGGAAGACGGCCCUACGGGUUGUAAACCUCUUUUGUCAGGGAGCAAGGUGCAGGUCGGGACCUGCUGUGAGAGUACCUGAAGAAAAAGCAUCGGCUAACUCCGUGCCAGCAGCCGCGGUAAUACGGAGGAUGCGAGCGUUAUCCGGGUUUAUGGGGUUUAAAGGGUGCGCAGGCGGAGGCACAAGUCAGCGGUAAAAUCGAGGGGCUCAACCCCGAUCCGCCGUUGAAACUGUGUCCGUUGAGUGCGCGAAGGGUAGGCGGAAUGCGUGGUGUAGCGGUGAAAUGCAUAGAUAUCACGCAGAACUCCGAUCGCGAAGGCAGCCUACCGGCGCGUAACUGACGCUCAUGCACGAAAGCGUGGGUAUCGAACAGGAUUAGAUACCCGUGUAGUC
rnacentral:rRNA from 1 species